rnacentral:rRNA from 1 species
UACGUAGGGGGCAAGCGUUGUCCGGAAUCAUUGGGCGUAAAGAGCGCGUAGCGGCCUGUAAGUCCGCUGUGAAAGUCAAGGGCUCAACCCUUGGAUGCCGGUGGAUACUGCAGGGCUAGAGUCCGGAAGAGGCGAGUGGAAUUCCUGGUGUAGCGGUGAAAUGCGCAGAUAUCAGGAGGAACACCGAUGGCGAAGGCAGCUCGCUGGGACGGUACUGGACGCUGAGGCGCCGAAAGCGUGGGGAGCAAACAGGA